CCGGAGAAUGUUAUCACGGGAGACACACGGCGGGUGCUAACGUCCGUCGUGAAGAGGGAAACAACCCAGACCGCCAGCUAAGGUCCCAAAGUCAUGGUUAAGUGGGAAACGAUGUGGGAAGGCCCAGACAGCCAGGAUGUUGGCUUAGAAGCAGCCAUCAUUUAAAGAAAGCGUAAUAGCUCACUGGUCGAGUCGGCCUGCGCGGAAGAUGUAACGGGGCUAAACCAUGCACCGAAGCUGCGGCAGCGACGCUUAUGCGUUGUUGGGUAGGGGAGCGUUCUGUAAGCCUGUGAAGGUGGCCUGUGAGGGUUGCUGGAGGUAUCAGAAGUGCGAAUGCUGACAUAAGUAACGAUAAAGCGGGUGAAAAGCCCGCUCGCCGGAAGACCAAGGGUUCCUGUCCAACGUUAAUCGGGGCAGGGUGAGUCGACCCCUAAGGCGAGGCCGAAAGGCGUAGUCGAUGGGAAACGGGUUAAUAUUCCCGUACUUGGUGUUACUGCGAAGGGGGGACGG
rnacentral:rRNA from 2 species